rnacentral:rRNA from 2 species
GUCGAACGAACUCUGGUAUUGAUUGGUGCUUGCAUCAUGAUUUACAUUUGAGUGAGUGGCGAACUGGUGAGUAACACGUGGGAAACCUGCCCAGAAGCGGGGGAUAACACCUGGAAACAGAUGCUAAUACCGCAUAACAACUUGGACCGCAUGGUCCGAGCUUGAAAGAUGGCUUCGGCUAUCACUUUUGGAUGGUCCCGCGGCGUAUUAGCUAGAUGGUGGGGUAACGGCUCACCAUGGCAAUGAUACGUAGCCGACCUGAGAGGGUAAUCGGCCACAUUGGGACUGAGACACGGCCCAAACUCCUACGGGAGGCAGCAGUAGGGAAUCUUCCACAAUGGACGAAAGUCUGAUGGAGCAACGCCGCGUGAGUGAAGAAGGGUUUCGGCUCGUAAAACUCUGUUGUUAAAGAAGAACAUAUCUGAGAGUAACUGUUCAGGUAUUGACGGUAUUUAACCAGAAAGCCACGGCUAACUACGUGCCAGCAGCCGCGGUAAUACGUAGGUGGCAAGCGUUGUCCGGAUUUAUUGGGCGUAAAGCGAGCGCAGGCGGUUUUUUAAGUCUGAUGUGAAAGCCUUCAGCUCAACCGAAGAAGUGCAUCGGAAACUGGGAAACUUGAGUGCAGAAGAGGACAGUGGAACUCCAUGUGUAGCGGUGAAAUGCGUAGAUAUAUGGAAGAACACCAGUGGCGAAGGCGGCUGUCUGGUCUGUAACUGACGCUGAGGCUCGAAAGUAUGGGUAGCAAACAGGAUUAGAUACCCUGGUAGUCCAUACCGUAAACGAUGAAUGCUAAGUGUUGGAGGGUUUCCGCCCUUCAGUGCUGCAGCUAACGCAUUAAGCAUUCCGCCUGGGGAGUACGGCCGCAAGGCUGAAACUCAAAGGAAUUGACGGGGGCCCGCACAAGCGGUGGAGCAUGUGGUUUAAUUCGAAGCUACGCGAAGAACCUUACCAGGUCUUGACAUACUAUGCAAAUCUAAGAGAUUAGACGUUCCCUUCGGGGACAUGGAUACAGGUGGUGCAUGGUUGUCGUCAGCUCGUGUCGUGAGAUGUUGGGUUAAGUCCCGCAACGAGCGCAACCCUUAUUAUCAGUUGCCAGCAUUAAGUUGGGCACUCUGGUGAGACUGCCGGUGACAAACCGGAGGAAGGUGGGGAUGACGUCAAAUCAUCAUGCCCCUUAUGACCUGGGCUACACACGUGCUACAAUGGAUGGUACAACGAGUUGCGAACUCGCGAGAGUAAGCUAAUCUCUUAAAGCCAUUCUCAGUUCGGAUUGUAGGCUGCAACUCGCCUACAUGAAGUCGGAAUCGCUAGUAAUCGCGGAUCAGCAUGCCGCGGUGAAUACGUUCCCGGGCCUUGUACACACCGCCCGUCACACCAUGAGAGUUUGUAACACCCAAAGUCGGUGGGGUAACCUUUUAGAACCA